rnacentral:rRNA from 1 species
GAUGAACGCUGGCGGCGUGCCUAAUACAUGCAAGUCGAGCGAACGGACGAGAAGCUUGCUUCUCUGAUGUUAGCGGCGGACGGGUGAGUAACACGUGGAUAACCUACCUAUAAGACUGGGAUAACUUCGGGAAACCGGAGCUAAUACCGGAUAAUAUUUUGAACCGCAUGGUUCAAAAGUGAAAGACGGUCUUGCUGUCACUUAUAGAUGGAUCCGCGCUGCAUUAGCUAGUUGGUAAGGUAACGGCUUACCAAGGCAACGAUGCAUAGCCGACCUGAGAGGGUGAUCGGCCACACUGGAACUGAGACACGGUCCAGACUCCUACGGGAGGCAGCAGUAGGGAAUCUUCCGCAAUGGGCGAAAGCCUGACGGAGCAACGCCGCGUGAGUGAUGAAGGUCUUCGGAUCGUAAAACUCUGUUAUUAGGGAAGAACAUAUGUGUAAGUAACUGUGCACAUCUUGACGGUACCUAAUCAGAAAGCCACGGCUAACUACGUGCCAGCAGCCGCGGUAAUACGUAGGUGGCAAGCGUUAUCCGGAAUUAUUGGGCGUAAAGCGCGCGUAGGCGGUUUUUUAAGUCUGAUGUGAAAGCCCACGGCUCAACCGUGGAGGGUCAUUGGAAACUGGAAAACUUGAGUGCAGAAGAGGAAAGUGGAAUUCCAUGUGUAGCGGUGAAAUGCGCAGAGAUAUGGAGGAACACCAGUGGCGAAGGCGACUUUCUGGUCUGUAACUGACGCUGAUGUGCGAAAGCGUGGGGAUCAAACAGGAUUAGAUACCCUGGUAGUCCACGCCGUAAACGAUGAGUGCUAAGUGUUAGGGGGUUUCCGCCCCUUAGUGCUGCAGCUAACGCAUUAAGCACUCCGCCUGGGGAGUACGACCGCAAGGUUGAAACUCAAAGGAAUUGACGGGGACCCGCACAAGCGGUGGAGCAUGUGGUUUAAUUCGAAGCAACGCGAAGAACCUUACCAAAUCUUGACAUCCUUUGACAACUCUAGAGAUAGAGCCUUCCCCUUCGGGGGGCAAAGUGACAGGUGGUGCAUGGUUGUCGUCAGCUCGUGUCGUGAGAUGUUGGGUUAAGUCCCGCAACGAGCGCAACCCUUAAGCUUAGUUGCCAUCAUUAAGUUGGGCACUCCAAGUUGACUGCCGGUGACAAACCGGAGGAAGGUGGGGAUGACGUCAAAUCAUCAUGCCCCUUAUGAUUUGGGCUACACACGUGCUACAAUGGACAAUACAAAGGGCAGCGAAACCGCGAGGUCAAGCAAAUCCCAUAAAGUUGUUCUCAGUUCGGAUUGUAGUCUGCAACUCGACUACAUGAAGCUGGAAUCGCUAGUAAUCGUAGAUCAGCAUGCUACGGUGAAUACGUUCCCGGGUCU